rnacentral:rRNA from 1 species
AGAGUUUGAUCCUGGCUCAGAACGAACGCUGGCGGCGUGGAUAAGACAUGCAAGUCGAACGGAGAUCUUGAAUAGCUUGCUAAUUAAGAUCUUAGUGGCGGACGGGUUAGUAACACGUGAGAACCUACCCUUUAGACAGGAAUAGCCCAUGGAAACGUGGAUUAAUGCCUGAUAGUCUCUACGGAGUAAAUGGUGCCUCCGGGUAUCGCUAGAGGAUGGGCUCGCGGCCUAUCAGCUUGUUGGUGAGGUAAAGGCUCACCAAGGCGACGACGGGUAGCUGGUCUGAGAGGACGAUCAGCAACACUGGAACUGAGACACGGUCCAGACACCUACGGGUGGCAGCAGUCGAGAAUCAUUCACAAUGGAGGCAACUCUGAUGGUGCAACGCCGCGUGGAGGAUGACGGUCCUAGGAUUGUAAACUCCUGUCAUUGGGGAGUAAGACUUAAGCGUUAAGAGCGUUUAAGUUUGAUAGUACCCAAAGAGGAAGGGACGGCUAACUUCGUGCCAGCAGCCGCGGUAAUACGAAGGUCCCAAGUGUUGUUCGGAAUCACUGGGCGUAAAGCGUGUGUAGGCUGCGCGGAAAGUCAAAUGAGAAAGCCCGGGGCUCAACCUCGGAACUGCAUUCGAUACUCCCGUGCUAGAGAAAUGGAGAGGUAAGUGGAAUUCCUGGUGUAGCAGUGAAAUGCGUGGAUAUCAGGAGGAACAUCAAUGGCGAAGGCAACUUACUGGACAUUUACUGACGCUCAGACACGAAGGCUAGGGUAGCGAAAGGGAUUAGAUACCCCUGUAGUCCUAGCAGUAAACGGUGCUCGCUUGGUGUGGGAGGAUUCGACCCCUUCUGUGCCGGAGCUAACGCGUUAAGCGAGCCGCCUGGGAAGUACGGUCGCAAGACUAAAACUCAAAGAAAUUGACGGGGACCCGCACAAGCGGUGGAGUAUGUGGCUUAAUUCGAUGCAACGCGAAGAACCUUACCUAGGCUUGACAUGCUUGUCGUACUCUCCCGAAAAGGAGAGGUCACUUCGGGCGGACAAUGCACAGGUGCUGCAUGGCCGUCGUCAGCUCGUGUCGUGAGAUGUUUGGUUAAGUCCAGCAACGAGCGCAACCCC